rnacentral:rRNA from 1 species
UACGGGGGGGGCAAGCGUUGUUCGGAAUUACUGGGCGUAAAGGGUCGGUAGGUGGCCGAUUAAGUCAGACGUGAAAUCCCUCAGCUUAACUGGGGAACUGCGUCUGAUACUGAUUGGCUUGAGUGCAGGAGAGGAACGCGGAAUUCCAGGUGUAGCGGUGAAAUGCGUAGAUAUCUGGAGGAACACCGGUGGCGAAGGCGGCGUUCUGGACUGCAACUGACACUGAACGACGAAAGCCAGGGGAGCAAACGGG